rnacentral:ncRNA from 1 species
CUUAUCAAGAGUGAAUGAGGGACAGGCCCUUUGACUUCACAGCAACCUGCAUAUUGCAAGGUGCUAAUACCUGCGGUAAUCCGAGUGAUA